GGGGAAAAACAAAGAAAUUUUUUCAAGAAGAAAAAGAUGUAUAACAUUCACAUAAGAAAAAAACCCCAAUUGACCAACAAACAUAUAAAUCAACCUGUCCAGUAUCACCAAGGAAUUUUGGAAGAUGACAGAACUGUUCUACAUUAUGACUGUGACAGUGACCACCCCACUGUAUGCAGUUACCAUAACUCGCAGAACUGUACGCCAAGAGGAGUACAGUUUACUGCGUGCAGAUAAACUAGCCUGAAAGGAUGGAACCCCAAAGCCCUUUAUGAGCACUAUACAUCUUGUCCACGGCCAUGUGGCUUGUCAGCCUUCUUGCCGGAGGAAUACACAUCUCAUAUCCAGCAAAAAUGCGUCUGGUCAUGUGACUUGCUUUGGCCAACGGCAUGUGAGCAGAAGCUUUACAAGGUGUUGUGAGUCCCUAAUGUCGUCUUGCUCUUUUCCUGCUGCUAUGAGCCUAGCAUGUCCCCGAUGGGGGCAGCUUCUUCAUUCUGGGUCCUGGACUGAGAAGAUUCAUGGAGCAAUACCACAGGAACCGUCACAGCUGACCUUUGCAAUUCCAUGAAAAGAAUGAAAUAAUGCCACCCGCAGCAACAUGGAUGGGAUCUAGAGUUUAUCAUACGAAGUGAAGUAUGUCAGCUGCUCAUUUUCAAAUCUGAUGCUCACUCUGACUUUGUUUUUUAUUUAAAAAUAAAGGAAUUGAGGAGCAUUGUGCCCACAAAGGGUUGGCUUAAAGCAGAAGUGACCAGGAUAUCUCAAAG
ensembl:lncRNA